rnacentral:rRNA from 1 species
CAGUCGCCGCGGUAAUACGAAGGGGGCUAGCGUUGUUCGGAUUUACUGGGCGUAAAGCGCACGUAGGCGGAUUCUUAAGUCAGAGGUGAAAUCCCAAGGCUCAACCUUGGAACUGCCUUUGAUACUGGGGAUCUUGAGUUCGGGAGAGGUGAGUGGAACUGCGAGUGUAGAGGUGAAAUUCGUAGAUAUUCGCAAGAACACCAGUGGCGAAGGCGGCUCACUGGCCCGAUACUGACGCUGAGGUGCGAAAGCGUGGGGAGCAAACAGGAUUAGAUACCCGCGUAGUCCCUGUCUUUAUACA